GAUGAACGCUGGCGGCGUGCUUAACACAUGCAAGUCGAACGGAAAGGCCCAAGCUUGCUUGGGUACUCGAGUGGCGAACGGGUGAGUAACACGUGGGUGAUCUGCCCUGCACUUCGGGAUAAGCCUGGGAAACUGGGUCUAAUACCGGAUAGGACCACUUCUUGGAUGUUGUGGUGGAAAGUUUUUUCGGUGUGGGAUGAGCUCGCGGCCUAUCAGCUUGUUGGUGGGGUAAUGGCCUACCAAGGCGUCGACGGGUAGCCGGCCUGAGAGGGUGUACGGCCACAUUGGGACUGAGAUACGGCCCAGACUCCUACGGGAGGUAGCGGUGGGGAAUAUUGCACAAUGGGCGCAAGCCUGAUGCAGCGACGCCGCGUGGGGGAUGACGGCCUUCGGGUUGUAAACUCCUUUCGCUAGGGACGAAGCGUUUUGUGACGGUACCUGGAGAAGAAGCACCGGCUAACUACGUG
rnacentral:rRNA from 1 species